rnacentral:rRNA from 1 species
CUACGGGGUGCAGCAGUGAGGAAUAUUGCACAAUGGGGGGAACCCUGAUGCAGCAACGCCGCGUGGAGGAUGACGCAUUUCGGUGUGUAAACUCCUUUUAUAUGUCAAGAAAAUGACGGUAGCAUAUGAAUAAGCACCGGCUAACUCCGUGCCAGCAGCCGCGGUAAUACGGAGGGUGCAAGCGUUACUCGGAAUCACUGGGUGUAAAGGACGCGUAGGCGGGUUGGAAAGUCAGGUGUGAAAUCCUACAGCUUAACUGUAGAACUGCACCUGAAACUUCUAAUCUAGAGUAUGGGAGGGGGAGAUGGAAUUAGUGGUGUAGGGGUAAUAUCCGUAGAUAUCACUAGGAAUACCUAAAGCGAAGGCGAUCUCCUGGAACAUUACUGACGCUAAGGCGUGAAAGCGUGGGGAGCAAACAGGAUUAGAUACCCGGGUAGUC